AAAUCAGGUCUUGGAAAGUCAUAUCGUAUGAACAGUGCCGUUAUUACUCUGUUUCUUUGUGCUUAUUUUCCCUCCCUCUCCUCCUUGUCAGGUAUUAGGGUUUUUUUCUUUGGCGCUUCACAAGCUUAAACCAUUGUUCAAUUUCAAUUCUUCUUAAAUCAAAACCUCCUCUCUUCCCUCUCAAUUCAUUUCCCUUCUCCAAGAUUUUAUUUUCUUGAAGCAUCGACGUCUUAAUUCAAUAAACAGAGCUUCUUGUUUCGGUUACUUAUGAAGCAGAGUCAAUAAAGCUCGAUUUGCUAAGAAAUGUGUUUAUGUUAAAUACUCAGUUAAUGGAAUCGAUGGAAACUGAUAAAGAAAGUAAUGCAAAAACAAAAGAAAAUGGUGGUUUGGAUUUGAGGCCAGUUGCAGCGGAAGAUUCAGGUGAAGGUUUGCCAUAUGCUCCUAAAGAUUGGCCUAAACCUGGUGAUGUUUGGAGAUGGAGAGUAGGAAGGCGUGUUGCCUCCAAUGGUCAUUUCUUGGAUAGAUAUUUAUAUCUUCCACGCCGUCUUUAUCGAAUGGAAAAAUCAAAUUCUUCAACAACUAAGAAACGUGGAUUUGCUAGCAAGCUUUCUGUUGAACGAUUUAUUAAAUCAUCUUUCCCAGGUGCAGAUGUUGAAGCUUUUUUUGCUUCAUUCAGCUGGAAGAUACCCGCUAAGGUUUCGCCAACUAAUGGUUAUCUCGAGGAGCAUUUUCUUCAACCUUUUGAAGAAGCAGCCGAUAAUUCCGAGUCGGAUUCCCAAUCGGAUGGUGUGGGUUGUAAUGCUGGAAACAAGAAAUGCAGGAGUCUGAUGGUACAAGAAGAAAACCCCCCAGUAGCUGCAAUGCCUUGUGAUAUCUGUUGCAGUGAACCUCGCUUCUGCCGUGAUUGUUGUUGUAUUCUGUGUUCCAAGAUCACAAGUUCAAAGUAUGGAGGUUUUGGUUACAUCAAAUGUGAAGCAUUGGUUAGUGAGGGUUAUAUCUGUGGCCAUGUUGCUCAUGUUGACUGUGCUCUUCGAACUUACAUGGCUGGGACAGUUGGAGGAAGCAUUGGCCUAGACAUUGAGUAUUACUGCCGCCGUUGUGAUGCAAAGACCGAUUUGAUUCCACAUGUUAUGAGGCUUUUGCAAACUUGUGAAUCCAUUGAUUCCUGUGAACAAGUAGAAAAAAUGUUAGCCCUAGGCAUUUGCAUUUUACGUGGGUCCCAGAAAACUGCUGCAAAGGGACUGCUGAACCGAAUUGAAUCUGCCAUUUCAAAGCUUAAAAAUGGGGUCAUUCUUGAGGAUAUAUGGAAAAUCGAAGAGGAUAUCUCUGCUAUUUCCACAGAACAAGGUCCUAGGGCCAUGGUGGAAGUUACUAAUCAGCAAGACCAUUUAGAUAAUAAAACAAGCUCGCCUGAUUCUUUUGCAUUGUCUUCUGAUUUCGAAGCUGAAACUGUGAAACUUGAGGAUGAGGUUGAAAAAGCCCUCUAUGAACUACAAAAGUCACAGGCAUCUGAAUUUGAAAUUGCAGAGGAACGACUUAUGGCUCAAAAGAAAUAUCUUCAGAACCUCUAUCAGCAACUUGAAAGAGAGAAAUCGGAAUUGAAACGGCCAACAUCCAGUACCAAACGAGAUGUCUUAGUGAAAGCUGUCUUGGAAAGGGUCAAUCAGAUAAAGCGAGAAGUGGCAAAACUCAAGGAUAUGGAAGAAGUGGCCAAGGGAUUUGGAAGGACCCCUAAAAGUAUCCUGAAGGAACAUUUUGGUUUGGAAAUUGAAGAAUGAAUUCAAAUUUUCCUCACAUGUUCAUCAAGUUUUCCUGUUGUACUGUCCUCAUGCGUUGACUUAAUCUUGUAUAUUCUUGUGAGUUUAUAUAGUUCUGCAAUUUCUUGUGAGUCUACGUGGUUCGGCACUUCUUUGUUGUGUGGUAAAGUUGAGGAUUUAUAGAGGAUCUUGUUGUGUAGGUGGUGAGAUCUGGUGUCAGAAGGAUGAUAAUUGCAUGAUCAAGCCAGUAUGAACCAGCUAAUGCUGGUUGAUCAAGUCCUACACAACGCAAAAAUAUUGCAGAACAUGCUGCAUUUCCAUGUUGCGAUUGUUGUGAAGCGGCUACCAGUGAUCUUAGGUGCAAUUUUAAAUCCACCUUUCAUAUUUUCUUUGACUUUUAUUAGGGAUGCAAUUUUGGAAUUUUGACCAGAUUAUUUUCUUAAUCAGUGAAUUGCAGUGGCUCACAAUUCUUUUUGAAAGAUUUUUGGCGGAGAGGACCGAUCCCAGUGGGAGGGAAAUGUUUUUGAUAUGCAGUAGUAAAUCGUUAAAGGUAUGAAAGUUCAAACCCAAAGGCUUAUUUUGGGAUAGGAAUUGUAGAUUGCUUAAAAUUAGAAUUUGUAGGUCACAUAUUGUUGAAAAUCAAUUGAAGAUCUAGAGAAUUAUUUGUAUUUUGUAAUUUAGGAGUUUGAUUUGCCAUAGCAAAAUUGUUAAUAUCUUUUGAAAACCAAUUAAAUGAAGAGAAAACCCCUCAAAUUGAGAGUUGAA